rnacentral:tRNA from 1 species
GGGCGCGUAGCUCAGUUGGUAGAGCAUCUGACUUUUAAUCAGGCGGUCGCAGGUUCGAAUCCUGCCGCGCUCACCA